UCGAAUUGUAUUUGUCGAAAAUCGGAGUUAUUUCACGAUAAGUUGAGAUAUUUUAAGUUUUAUAAAAUUCGUUGAUAUCGAGCAUUACGAUUCAGCAUUCUAGAGUAAAUUGUCUCGAUUAAAAACAAUUUAGAAAUAACUUACUUUUUAGAAUGCAAAAUUAUCAAACUUCAAUAAACGAGGAACACGAGUACUUUGUGGUUAGUAAGUAACGUAUUAAAGACUAAUCAUUGAUCAACGGUUCUCAACUUACGUUUUCCUAAAAUGCGUUAAAGUAUUAUGAAUUCGUGGUUCGUGUAGGGAAUUUUAUCAUAAUCGUUAGCAACAAUUGCAUUUAAUGUUAUUUUUAUUAUUAUAUUUUGCAGAACAGAAUUUGUUUCCUUUCUGCAAUAUAAUAAUAGCCAUUAUAAAGAAAAAGUUUUAUGAGUGAGUACAUUACGGAUCUGUUCGACUUUUAAACAAAUUCUAUGAAAGUUUAAAUGCAAAGAAAAAAUCAAUGUUAUUUAGUCGUUCUAACGAGAUUAAUGAAAUUGAUUUGGUAGUUUUUACUAGAAAAUAUAUACAUUAUAAAUAUUUAACAUUUAAAAUCACGCUGGGGAACAAUGUUAUCGUUAAAAUGAUAUGUUUUAAUAAAUUUAGUUAAACUGUUACAAUUGAAUGAAAUAAAUCAUAAUUAAACUAUGACGAUUAGUUUCACUUAAUAGAUGCAAUACACAUAAAACAUAAAGGUGAAAUAUUCACAUAUAUUAAGUGGAAGAGAUACUUCAUAAAUAAUAAAAAUUAGAAAAUCACAUUUAAUUAUUUGUUAUAUGUUAUAACAAUAGUCUUAAUAUAUCGAUUGGAACUUGCAUCGUUUGAUCAUCGACCAAAACAAUGUCAAAUUUUUCCAUAAAUGAAUCCAGGCUGCUUUCAACCUGUAAAAGAUCAAAAUUUCUAUUGAAUUCACAAUCUCUUUCUAAAAAUUCUAAUUAUAAGACAAGGCAUACAAUGAUAAUUAUUUGUUAUAAACAAACACAAUGCAAUAAAUAGUACUUACAUUGUCAUAAAGAAAACCAAUUUUUAGUACGGCGCAUGUAUUCACCAUUCCAUCGACCAUUGAUGCAUCUCCUAUGGUAUCACCCAUUAAAAAAACAUUUUUCCUUCCUUCAAGAACUUUAAAAUAGUCUUGUUCUAUUGCAUGUUCGUUUUUAUUGAAAACAUGAAUUAGUCUUUCAUUUUGAAAGCCUGCCAAUUUUCCAUCU